rnacentral:rRNA from 1 species
UACGGAGGAUCCGAGCGUUAUCCGGAUUUAUUGGGUUUAAAGGGUGCGCAGGCGGGAGAUUAAGUCGGCGGUGAAAUUUUGCAGCUCAACUGUAAAAGUGCCUUCGAAACUGGUUUCCUUGAGUGUAGAUGAAGUAGGCGGAAUUUGUGGUGUAGCGGUGAAAUGCAUAGAUAUCACGAGGAACUCCGAUUGCGCAGGCAGCUUACUAAACUACUACUGACGCUCAGGCACGAAGGCGUGGGGAUCAAACAGGAUUAGAUACCCGCGUAGU